rnacentral:tRNA from 3 species
CGCUCUUAGUUCAGUUCGGUAGAACGCAGGUCUCCAAAACCUGAUGUCGUAGGUUCAAGUCCCACAGAGCGUG